ensembl:snoRNA
GGUCAAUGAUGAGCAGUAAAAGGUCUGAUUACCCCAAAUCUUCUCCUGCUGCCCUCUGGCUCCCAGCAGCCCCUCUGUGCACCCAUCACGCUCUAGUGGUGCUGUGGUGGUCCCAGGGGCUGCUGACAGACAGGAUGUGACAUCACAGUGGGAGGCUGUACAAAGACCCUACAGGCUCCGUGUGACUGACAUCCCACAGAACCAAUCAGAGUGGAGUGUGAGGCUGAGGAGAAGGAGGGAGAUGAUCUCUAGUUUUCAACCUGAGACC